rnacentral:rRNA from 1 species
AUUGAACGCUGGCGGCAGGCCUAACACAUGCAAGUCGAGCGGAUGAAGGGAGCUUGCUCCUGGAUUCAGCGGCGGACGGGUGAGUAAUGCCUAGGAAUCUGCCUGGUAGUGGGGGAUAACGUCCGGAAACGGGCGCUAAUACCGCAUACGUCCUGAGGGAGAAAGUGGGGGAUCUUCGGACCUCACGCUAUCAGAUGAGCCUAGGUCGGAUUAGCUAGUUGGUGGGGUAAAGGCCUACCAAGGCGACGAUCCGUAACUGGUCUGAGAGGAUGAUCAGUCACACUGGAACUGAGACACGGUCCAGACUCCUACGGGAGGCAGCAGUGGGGAAUAUUGGACAAUGGGCGAAAGCCUGAUCCAGCCAUGCCGCGUGUGUGAAGAAGGUCUUCGGAUUGUAAAGCACUUUAAGUUGGGAGGAAGAGCAGUAAGUUAAUACCUGGCUGUUUUGACGGUACCAACAGAAUAAGCACCGGCUAACUUCGUG